ensembl:lncRNA
AUGGUGAAGCGAUGUGCCUAUGGCGUAUGUAAAUCGGACAGUAGGUACCCCAAGAGUUUGGCUGGGGGAGUCGUGUUCUUUCCUUUUCCAAAGCCGAAAACACAACAGGAGCGGUGCCUACGAUGGAUCAAACAGUGUGGAAGGCCCCACUCCCAGCUAAAUGUCACGAAAAUAAACAAGCAUGCAUACGUCUGCUCCAAGCAUUUUGUGAAUGGACAGCCUACCCCUGAGUAUCCCGACCCUGUACUUGCUGUACAAGUGUCGAACCAGACUAGGGAGCAGCUCGGAGGCUGUCGAAAGCCACCCCAAAAACGAUGCAGAUUAAGUGUGCAGGAUGCCUCUGGCUCCACCUCCAGCACUGAUGAUGCAGACGAGACUCAACAGUAUAUUGUUGACAGUGGUGAGUGAUAAGCCUUUUUCAAGUUAAUACUGGCGUAACAGGAGUGGAAUAGCCUGCCCAAUCCCAUUACCUCUGUAUUGUGUUGAAUGAUAGAAUAGGCAGCAAGAUGUUUCAGACAGUGAAUAAGUUCCUUUAUUGGCACUUUCAUUCUCUGUUCAGAGGUCAAAACAAACAAGAAGAACAAAGAAACAAGAGAACAAAAUAAGGGUCCAUACAUACAUACAGUAAGACGAUCACGGAUUUAUCUCACUGGUAUGUAACAUAGUAGUCAAAGAAAAAUGCAUCAAGCUUGCUCUUCAUCUCUUCCCAUUUUGCAACAUCAAAUUGUAUUCUUUCUAGGUGGUAAUCUUCCUCACAUUUAACAAAAAAAUCACACCAUGACAUACCCGUGAGCCCAAGCUGCCCCAUUAUUUGAUAAUGAUGGGCAUGACACUCUUUUAGUUUAUAGCGUCCAUCUGCCUGCUUGCAAAGGUAAGGACACUCUGUAAAGCUGUUCUUGGAUGGGCACUUAAUUUCUAAAAGCCCAUAGCUUGGGCUUUCACUCCCUCCUCUCUCUAUCACCUUAUGGUCAGGUGAAGUACCAAGGUGUGGGGCAUCAGGAUUUACAACAAAACCACAUGGAUACACUAGAUUACCUGUGAGCUUCGUGUACUGUGUUGCUGCUAUGGGCUCUUGUUCUACACCUCUUUUCAUGGCCUUAGUUUGUACUGAUGCGGCACUCUUUAAGCUUGUAGCAAGUUUUUCAUGGUCAGCUCUCCUAGAGCAGAUUCUUUUAAAAGAGGUUGAUGUUAUUCGGGCAGACCUUGCAUGGAACCACAAGUUGUUUGUGCUCUGUUCCCUGGUUUCCUGUUCCAGAGCUAUAGAAUCAGGCAAAGACAUUUUCAGUUCUGUGUAACAACGCAUGGCACUUUCACCAGAACUGUGCAGAAGCUGGUGGGUUGGGAUGGCAGAGGAAAGUUGGGCAGGUCAUCUGGUUGGCUGACAGGAGUUACUCCAGGAUCAACAGAAGACUCUCCAACUUGGCAAACAAGUGGCAGCUUUAAAAAAGGGACAAAGAUAAAGGAUUAUCAAUAACAUGCAAACAUUUUUUCAUUACAGAGAGUACUGAGCAACCCCCACUUCCUGGAUGGCAGUGUAGCAGGGUUAAUGCUUCCCACUUGCAUUAAGGCAUCCAGCAGAUCUCCAUUAGAGUCUGGGAGUCGCGAGAUCCAAGAAACAGUCCUAUCCUCUGAAUCACAAUCAGGCAGGACGGUAGAACCCACAACACCAUCCGGAAAGGAAUCAUCUGUAGCAAAGUCACUCACACAGGAACCGUAAUUUUCGGACCCAGGUGGGAUAGGCAAGAAAUUGACAGGCAUUAUCAAAUUUCUAUGGACCACCUUCUCUCGAUCCGUUGUACAGUUCUUGAUCCUGAAGGUGUGUGUGUUUUCGUGUUUCUCCACAACAGUGUGCAGGUGACUGUCCCAGCGAUCAGCCAACUUUCUCUUCCCACGCUCUCCUUUGUUGGCUAAAAGAACCCUGUCCCCAACUUCCACAGCCGCGCCCCUGAACUUCCUGUUGUAUAAGGCAGCUUGUCUCUGCUGCUGUUUAGCAGAGGAGGUCUGAGCGAUU